rnacentral:tRNA from 1 species
UCCCUGGUGGUUCAGUGGUUAAGACUCCACACUCCCAGUGUGGGGGCCUGGGUUCAAAUUCUGGUCAGUGAA